GCCCUGCUAGCUCAAUCGGUAGAGCGUGAGACUUUUACGAUCAAAGACCGUGAGCCUCAUUCAUCGUUGUCAAAUUAGUACUUAAUUUGGGGAUCUCAAGGCUGCGGGUUCGAGCCCCGCGUGGGGCU